rnacentral:rRNA from 1 species
GAGAGAGACAUGCGCGCAUAUCAAUAAGCGGAGGAAAAGAAACUAACAAGGAUUCCCUUAGUAACGGCGAGUGAAGCGGGAAGAGCUCAAAUUUGAAAUCUUCAAGGUUUUACCUUGACGAAUUGUAGUUUAAAGAAGUGUUUUCUGUUGAAGUUUUGGUAAAAGUUCUUUGGAAUAGGACAUCAUAGAGGGUGAGAAUCCCGUAUUUGACCAUUAUUUUCAGCUGUGUGAUACACUUUCAAAGAGUCGGAUUGUUUGGGAAUGCAGUCCAAAAUGGGUGGUAAAUUUCAUCUAAAGCUAAAUAUUGGCGAGAGACCGAUAGCGAACAAGUACCGUGAGGGAAAGAUGAAAAGAACUUUGAAAAGAGAGUUAAACAGUACGUGAAAUUGUCAAAAGGGAAGCGUUUGACACCAGUGUUGUUUUCUCGAAAAUCAAUUAAAAAAGGCUGGAUUUUGUGUUGUAUUGACUUUAUCAGCUUUCUGCACUCUUUUCCUGUCUUUUUUAAUGCACUUUUCAGUUAACAAGUCAACAUCAAUUUCUUUUGUUGUAAAAGGGUAAUAGGAAGGUGGCUUGCUCUUCGGCGCAAGUGUUUAUAGCCUUUGACCUCUGCAAUCGGAGAGAUUGAGGUCUGCAGCGUAGACUCUUCGGGGUUAGAUGACAUUUGUGCUAAGUUAUAGCCUUUCAUAGACAACUUGUUGACUAUGAUCAGUCAUGUAGCUUACUCGCUGAUGCUAUUUUACCUACGCUUAGGAUGUUGACAGCAGUAUAGACUGU